AACGCUGGCGGCGUGCCUAACACAUGCAAGUCGAACGGAGAUAUUAAUGAAGCUUGCGAUUUAAUAUCUUAGUGGCGGACGGGUGAGUAACGCGUGGGUAAUCUGCCCAUAAGUGGGGAACAACAGUUGGAAACGACUGCUAAUACCGCAUACGCUGUCGCAAGACAGGAAAGGUGGCCUCUGAAUAUGCUGCCGCUUAUGGAUGAGCCCGCGUCUGAUUAGCUAGUUGGUGGGGUAAAGGCCUACCAAGGCGACGAUCAGUAGCCGGCCUGAGAGGGUGAACGGCCACACUGGGACUGAGACACGGCCCAGACUCCUACGGGAGGCAGCAGUGGGGAAUAUUGCGCAAUGGGGGAAACCCUGACGCAGCGACGCCGCGUGAGCGAUGAAGGCCUUAGGGUUGUAAAGCUCUGUUUUAAGGGACGAAUGUUACGGGGAGUAAUAUGCCCUGUAAAUGACGGUACCUUAAGAGGAAGCCCCGGCUAACUACGUGCCAGCAGCCGCGGUAAG
rnacentral:rRNA from 1 species